rnacentral:lncRNA from 1 species
GACGUCUUCAAAGGUCCUGGGCUUAAGACCGCUCUUUUGCAUACUGUUGACCAUCGCUUUUCUUGCUGUGUCAAACUACGGGCAUAGCCAAAUGAAAUGUUCGAUGUCGCCAAUGUCCCCACAGAAACAUUGUCCAUAUA